CCUACGGGUGGCAGCAGUGAGGAAUAUUGGUCAAUGGGCGCGAGCCUGAACCAGCCAAGUCGCGUGCGGGAAGAAGGUCCUAUGGAUUGUAAACCUCUUUUGUCGGGGAGCAAAAGACGCCACGCGUGGCGUUCCGAGAGUACCCGAAGAAAAAGCAUCGGCUAACUCCGUGCCAGCAGCCGCGGUAAUACGGAGGACGCGAGCGUUAUCCGGAUUCAUUUGGUUUAAAGGGUGCGCAGGCGGAAGAUCAAGUCAGCGGUAAAAUUGAGAGGCUCAACCUCUUCGAGCCGUUGAAACUGGGUGUCUUGAGUGAGUGAGAGGUAUGCGGAAUGCGUGGUGUAGCGGUGAAAUGCAUAGAUAUCACGAAGAACCCCGAUUGCGAAGGCAGCAUACCGGCGCUCAACUGACGCUGAGGCACGAAAGUGUGGGUAUCGAACAGGAUUAGAUACCCUGGUAGUC
rnacentral:rRNA from 1 species